CUAAAAUCCCAACGUUCCCUGCGCGCCACGCCAAGAUGGCUGCGCCCGGGUUUCGCUGUUUUUCCCGGGCUCGGUGGUUUAGUGCCCCAGACCCAUCGGGGAUCUUGUCCCUGGGGCUGCGAGAGGCCCACUCAGGCGCUCAGGGGCUGCUGGCCGUGCAGAAGGCCCGGGGCCUGUUCAAGGAGUUCUUCCCCGAGAGGGGCACGAACAUAGAGCUCCCAGAGCUCUUCGACCGUGGCAUCGCGGGCAACUUUCCCCAGACCAUCUACUGCGGCUUCGACCCCACGGCCGACUCGCUCCACGUGGGGCAUCUGCUGGCGCUGCUGGGCCUGUUUCACUUCCAGCGAGCGGGCCACAACGUGAUCGCGCUGGUGGGAGGUGCCACGGCGCGCCUGGGGGACCCGAGCGGCCGUACCAAAGAGCGCGAGGCGCUGGACGCAGAGCGCGUGCGGAGCAACGCGCAGGCCCUGCGCCAAGGGAUCGAGGCCCUGGAAGCCCAUCACCGACAGCUCUUCACCAACGGGCGGGCCUGGGGCAGCUUCACGGUGCUGGACAACUCGGGCUGGUACCAGGAGCAGCACCUGGUGGACUUCCUGGCUGCGGUGGGCGGCCACUUCCGCAUGGGCACGCUGCUGAGCCGGCUGAGCGUCCAAUCGCGGCUCAAGAGCCCCGAGGGCAUGAGCUUGGCCGAGUUUCUGUACCAGGUGCUCCAGGCCUAUGAUUUCUACUACCUGUUCCGGCGUUAUGGAUGCCGGGUCCAGCUGGGUGGGUCUGAUCAGCUGGGCAAUAUCGUGUCCGGAUACGAGUUCAUCCACAAGUUGACUGGAGAAGAUGUGUUUGGAAUUACUAUUCCUCUAAUUACAAGUACAACUGGAGCAAAACUGGGAAAGUCUGCUGGGAAUGCUGUGUGGCUGAAGAGAGAGAGGACAUCCCCAUUCGAAUUGUAUCAGUUCUUUGUCAGGCAGCAAGACGAUUCUGUGGAAAGGUACCUGAAGCUCUUCACUUUUCUGCCCCUUCCAGAGAUUGACCACAUAAUGCAGCUGCAUGUCAAAGAGCCAGAAAAGCGGGGGCCCCAGAAACGCCUUGCCGCGGAAGUGACCAAGCUUGUUCAUGGACAAGAAGGGCUGCAUUCUGCUAAAAGGUGUACACAGGCCCUUUAUCACAGCAGCAUAGAUGCACUGGAGGUCAUGUCUGAUCAAGAGUUAAAAGAGUUGUUUAAAGAAGCUUCGUUUUCUGAAUUAGUUCUUGACCCUGGAACAAGCGUCCUAGAUACGUGCCGCAAAGCAAACGCCAUUCCGGAUGGUCCCCGAGGGUAUCGGAUGAUAACAGAAGGCGGAGUCAGUAUAAAUCACAGACAAGUAACAAAUCCUGAGAGUGUUUUAGUUGUUGGACAACAUAUACUUAAGAAUGGACUCUCACUGCUUAAAAUAGGAAAAAGGAAUUUCUAUAUUAUAAAAUGGCUUCAACUAUGAUGAAAAAUGCUGACUGUUCAAACUUACCAUCAUUCAUUUGCAAGAUAUACUAAAGGUUGACCCCGAACUCAUACCUUCACUCACACAAAUCAAACAACAGUAGUGGGGAACGGAUUCGCAAUUGGGAAGCAAUGUACUAAAUUCUGAAGUAAAUAAUGCUGUACAAAAAAGUUUGUAUGAAGACUGACUAAAGUGAUGAUCUGUGAGAUAAGAGCUCACCAUUUCAUUUGUAACAGGCAACCGUUUACGGAGAAGACAAGUCACUACUUCAACUAUGGCAUCAUGAAGUUUAGGAAAUCGCAACAGCUCCUACAUGUGAUGGAGAAAAAAAACACAGCAGCCUAUUUUGUAUAAAGGAAAAUUAACUGGCACCGAACUCCCGGUUUAGAUUUAGAAGCUACACUUCAAAUCACUUUAGUUCUGGGACCAGCAGAUGUUAUGUACGUCUUCCCACCCCACGAAGCGAGCAUGC